AACGAACGCUGGCGGCAGGCCUCAAACAUGCAAGUCUAGGGGGUGUAGCAAUACAUCACCGGCGGACGGGUGCGUAACGCGUGGGAAUAUACCUAUUGGUUCGGAACAACACAGGGAAACUUGUGCUAAUACCGAAUGUGCCCUUACGGGGAAAGAUUUAUCGCCAAUGGAUUAGCCCGCGUCCGAUUAGCUAGUUGGUGAGGUAACGGCUCACCAAGGCUCCGAUCGGUAGCUGUUCUGAGAGGAAGAUCAGCCACACUGGGACUGAGACACGGCCCAGACUCCUACGGGAGGCAGCAGUUGGGAAUAUUGGACAAUGGGCGAAAGCCUGAUCCAGCAAUGCCGCGUGGAUGAAGAAGGUCUUCGGAUUGUAAAGUCCUUUCGACGGGGACGAUGAUGAGGUACCCGUAGAAGAAGCCCCGGCUAACUCGUGCCAGCAGCCGCGGUAAU
rnacentral:rRNA from 1 species